UGCCAACAUACUUUGUGUUGGAGUCAGUCAACUCCAGUGUCCCAUCCUCACAGCACUUCCAGACCACACAUGAGGCAUUUAUGGCAGCAAAAAGGUCUGACACUGCUGGGGUCAGCCCCAGCGUCCCCUCCUUGACUGCUCUGACCGGCACCAGAUCACAGGACUCCAGGACUGAGGGAGAGAAAGGCUGGCCUGGACUCUCACCAUCUUUUCAGAGGGGACUUCAGCGGCAAAGAGGGAAUGGUGAACACAUGACUCCUCUGAGAGGAUUUUUAGGGACAAGGAAAAGCACCGAGUUACCAUCAUGGUCUGCAUAUUCUUAUGAAUAAUUUAGAAGUAUAAAAGAAGUCCCUUCGAUCACUGCAGCAGCAAGCACUGGGUAAGAUGGGCCCUACCCACUCCUUCCCAUGGGCCUAAGCUCCAGGAUGGGACUGGGUGUGGGGAGGGAAAAGAGGCUUAGUCUUCUGCGGGCUUGCAUCCUGAGGGAUCACACAUUUCUUUGCUUUUCUCCCUGCUGUGGAUGCUAUUGCCUGUCUUUUUGUCCUCCUCGGACCCUUCUGUAGGAACUGUCCCCACACCCUGGGAGGAGGGGGCCAUUUGUGAUUUGGGGGUUUCUGAGGCCAUGGUGGUGGGGCAGGUCUCUCAGAGGGCUCUUGUCUCACCCCUGCCCCAUUCUGGUUCCCCAGCCUCUCGCUUACCAAGGCACCCAACACACGGGCCACGUGCACCGGCUGGCUCCACUUCUCUACCUGCUUGUCCUCGCUCAGCAAGCGCAGGCUGAGGUCAAUGACAUCCCCCUCGAACUGUUAAGGAUCACACAGGGCCAUGAUGAAGGGUCCCCAGGUCAGGCACUCAUCCUGCAGGACAGCCUCAUCAUCUCGUCCUUCUCCCAGACCCGCACUCCACACCUGCCUCCCUUGCCUCGUCCCUCUGAGGAGCUCUGGCUCCCUCCCCCCACCUCUCAAUGGGACCUGGGUUCCUUUUCCCAGGCAUCCAGUCCUUUGCCUAGCUGUUUUCUGACUCCCAGUAGGGUGUGAGCUCUCAGGGACCCAUGCUGUACUGUUUCGUUUCAUUGCAUUGCAUUCCAUUUCCAUUUAGUGAACCCUGACUGCUCCUACCAGCCCUGAACCGGGAGUGGAGGAUACCGAGGCAGCUCCUGUUCCUGAGGAGCCCACGGUUUAGGACUGGAGAUGGACACGCAGUGCAGCCCCUUAGAUUACAGAGCACAGCAGCAUGGCCAGGGCUCUUGUAGAGAUGCUGGCACAGAGCAGCACAGUGGAGAGGCUCCCCCUGCCUUCGGGGAUUGGGGAAGGCUUUGAGAAGGUCUUGAGAGAUGGGUAGGAGCUUGCCAGGAGAUAAGAGUGGGAAGCCCUUCCUGGCAGAGGGAACGUUCAGCCUGUUGCUCUGAGGAUGGUGAGGAGUUGGAACAUGGGGCGGUUCAUGGGGAAAGGAAAGCAGGGUCCUGGCUGGAAGGGCCGUGGAUGUUAGGCUAGGGGGAUUUGGUCUUUAUCUCAAAGACAGUGGGGAUGUAACUGGGGCUUGAUUUGCCACAGUUUUAAGGAAAAUAAUUCUGGGAGCUCCUGGAGGAUGUUCUGAUAUGGCCCAGAGGAAGGAGAGGCAUCACAAAGCUGAAAUGGGCUAAAGAAAUGGUCUCAUGACCAGGGGUUUUUGAACCUACCAGCUCUGUCUAGCCUGAACAUGCAAGGUUAUGGGACAGUCACUCUACACACUCCUCCCCUAGAGGGCCCUGGUACCUGGCCAAAGUCCCAGGACUCUGCCUGGAUGCAGUCAGCUGUACCCAGGUAGAUGAGACCAUUCUGGUUCAACAAGUACUCCAUGCGCUGAGCCUCAUUCUUCAGGAACACAGCAUCCUCUGGUGAGAGGUGGGUAGGGAUGAGGGCCUGUGGGGGUCCUAGGUCCACCCUCCACAUCCAGGCCUCUGUCCUCCCUGCCGAGAUUAGGUUUGGCUGCAGGCCACCCCGUCAGCUCUGGGCCUAAUGAAGACUGAGGAGGAAGUCCCUCUUUCACUGCCCCCACUGGGACCCAGCCCAGAGUCCCUGGGUCAAUCAGGGUGUGGCCUUUAUGGUCAGCCAGGAAGACAAGAACAACCUUAAAAAGCUUGGCUGGCCAGGUGCAGUGGCUCACGCCUAUAAUCCCAGCACUUUGGGAGGCCAAAGCAGGACAGUUUGAGGCCAGGAGUUCGAGACCAGCCUGGGCAACACAGCAAGACUCCGUCUCUACAAAAAAUAAAAAAAAACAGCCAGGUGUGGUGGUGCGCACUUGUAGUCCUAGCUAUUCAGGAGGCUGAAGCGGGAGGAAACUUGAGCCCAGGAGUUUGAGGUUGCAAUGAGCUAUGAUGGUGCCACUGCACUCCAGCCUGGGUGACAGAGUGAGAGAUUUUCUCUUAAAAAAAAUGAAAACCAGCCAGGCGUGGUGGCUCACGCCUGUAAUCCCAGCACUUUGGGAGGCUGAGGCGGGUGGAUCACCUGAGGUCAGGAGAUCAAGACCAGCCUGACCAACAUGGUGAAACCCUGUCUCUACUAAAAAUACAAAAAAUUAGGUAGGUGUGGUGGCACUUGCUUGUAAUUCCAGCUACUUGGGAGGCUAAGGCAGGAGAAUCUCUUGAAUCCAGGAGGCAGAGGCUGCAGUGAGCUGAGAUCAUGCCAUCGCACUCCA
rnacentral:lncRNA from 1 species